rnacentral:lncRNA from 1 species
UACAGUCUGGCACUCAAUAGUUACAAUAUGUUAUUCUCUAAUAAACCCUCCUCAAGACUUCCCUUCAAUUUGCUUGAAUGAAAUUUCAAUGGAUCCGUGAAGGCUAUCUUACUAUUGAUAAUUUUUUCCCAAUUCCUGUGUGUUCAGAGUAUUGAAUUUGAGCAUAUAACUACAAGUGUGACUUUGAAGCAGUAAGAUUGAUGCAUUGGAGGACCAUUUAGUUUAUUUUUUAACUGUAUCUUAGGAUGCAUGGAUCUUUGAUUGGGACCUAAGGGUAGAUAACGUCUUUGUAUUCUUGUGUCAAGCUCUUUCCAUAUGUUAGUAGGGGGUUGUGAAGUAUGGGUUGGAAUAUCAAGGAUGAGCAAUGCUACAGUAUACUUGUUCUAUCCUCUGACCUUUGGUUUUGAGUCGGUAACAAAGUCGGUGGUUUGAUCCAUAUCCUUGACAAUUUAAAAAGUACCUAUUUACCAGGUUAAUUUACCUUGAGAGGUUUUGUUCGUUUGAUAUUUUAGCUUGAUGAGCUGUUGCCGAUGGUUUCUAUUUACUUACUGUUGCUCGCUUCUUUCCCCAGGCUCAAAUACAGUAUCAGUGUUGUUGCUGACAAGGGUUUGAAAAAGCCCCUUUUUACAUCUUCACGCAUGAAAAAGGGUGAAGUUCUUUAUUUGGAAACCCAUACUCAAAGGUAUCUCCACUGGCUUCCCUCUCUAUUUACCUUGAGAGGUUUUGUUCGUUUGAUAUUUUAGCUUGAUGAGCUGUUGCCGAUGGUUUCUAUUUACUUACUGUUGCUCGCUUCUUUCCCCAGGCUCAAAUACAGUAUCAGUGUUGUUGCUGACAAGGG